rnacentral:rRNA from 1 species
GACGAACGCUGGCGGCGUGCUUAACACAUGCAAGUCGAACGGAAAGACCCUGCUUUUGUGGGGUGCUCGACUGGCGAACGGGUGAGUAACACGUGAGUAACCUGCCCUUGACUUUGGGAUAACUUCAGGAAACUGGGGCUAAUACCGGAUAGGAGCUCCUGCUGCAUGGUGGGGGUUGGAAAGUUUCGGCGGUUGGGGAUGGACUCGCGGCUUAUCAGCUUGUUGGUGGGGUAGUGGCUUACCAAGGCUUUGACGGGUAGCCGGCCUGAGAGGGUGACCGGCCACAUUGGGACUGAGAUACGGCCCAGACUCCUACGGGAGGCAGCAGUGGGGAAUAUUGCACAAUGGGCGGAAGCCUGAUGCAGCAACGCCGCGUGCGGGAUGACGGCCUUCGGGUUGUAAACCGCUUUCGCCUGUGACGAAGCGUGAGUGACGGUAAUGGGUAAAGAAGCACCGGCUAACUACGUG